rnacentral:rRNA from 1 species
CAGCAGCCGCGGGAAAACGAAGGGGGCUAGCGUUGUUCGGAUUUACUGGGCGUAAAGCGCACGUAGGCGGAUCGAUCAGUCAGGGGUGAAAUCCCAGAGCUCAACUCUGGAACUGCCUUUGAUACUGUCGAUCUGGAGUAUGGAAGAGGUGAGUGGAAUUCCGAGUGUAGAGGUGAAAUUCGUAGAUAUUCGGAGGAACACCAGUGGCGAAGGCGGCUCACUGGUCCAUUACUGACGCUGAGGUGCGAAAGCGUGGGGAGCAAACAGGAUUAGAUACCCGAGUAGUCCCUGUCUCUUAUAC